ensembl:lncRNA
UUUCUCCCCCAUGGGAAGGGUGUUUUUUUUUUAAUUAAAAAAAAAUUUUUUUUGGUACUGGGGAUUGAUUAAAUUAAGUUUUUAUUGGUACAUGUUUGGACUACAUAAUGACUAUAUUCUUCCUGUGGAGUUGGUGCAUGUACAUAACACAUCUUAAUUCUUUUUCAGCCCCUUCCCCUUCUUCCGCUCCCUCCAUCCCAUGACCCCCUUCCCUUUUGCAAAAGAUUGAUUUAUUUCCUAUGAUCUAUCUCUUAUUUUGUUCUUUAUUUAUAUUUUGGGUUUCUUAUAUGAGAAACCAUGUGAUAUUUAACCUUGUGUGUCCAAAACUUUUUUAAGUAUCUGACAUGAUACCACCAGUGGAAAAUUCUACUCCUGACCUUAUGUGACAAGUCACAGCCAAAACACAGACACACUAAAACUUUGUAUAAAAUCACCUUCAGUCUAUUUGUAUAAGGCUUAUAUAAAACAAAUUUCAUGUGUAGGCUUGGAUCAAUCACUGAGAGUCUCUCUAUAUAUGCAGAUAUUCCAAAAUUUUUUAAAAAGCCAAAGUCUGAAACAUACGAUAAUUUCUUCUGAAAAAUGUAUUGUAGACUAGCACUACACAGUUGUGAACAUUAGCAUGUCAGCCAAAAAAUAGUUUGUUUUGAAUCUAUUUUUCCUAUUAUAAAUGAUUUCAUAAAUUUAAAAAACCUAUAAAAUCUAGAAGAAAAAAAUAUAUGGAUAAAAUCUAUAAUUCUAUCAUGAAUGCAAUGAAUUUUAGAAUUUUUGAUAUUUUUCUUGUAGGUUUUUAACCACAUACCGUUGGCCCUCCAUAUUUCUGGGAUCUGUAUCUGUGGCUUCAACUACUGUCACUUCAGAUAAAAAUAUUUGGGAGGGGCUGGGGAUUUAGCUCAGUGGUUUGCCACCUGCUGCACAAGUGUAAGGACCUGAGUUCAAUCCCAGGUAUCAAAAAAAAAAAAAAUUGGGAAAAAAUUACAUCUGUACUAAACUUGUAGAGAAUUUUCUUGUCAUUAUACACUAUACAGUAUAAUAAACAUCUAUUUACAUAGCAUUUACAUUGUAUUAGGAAUGAUAUGUAGAGAGGAUUUUCUUUUUUGGUACUGGGGAUCAAACUCAGGACCUUGCACUUGAGAGGCAGGUGCCGGAACCACUGAGCUAAAUCCCUGGCCCUGUAGAGAGGAUUUAAAGUAUACAGAGGAUGUGCAUAGGUUAUAUACAAAUAUUUCACCCUUUUAUAUAAGGGUGAACAUCUGCUGAUUUUGGUAUCUGCAGGGGGUCCUAGAACCAAAGUACUGAGGAAAAAUUGUAGUUUUAAACAUAGAGAAUAUGUAAUUUGGAUCUGCUUUUUAUUUAACAUACAGCAUAAAUAUUUUUCUAUGUUGAAUAGUCUUAAUACCAUAAUUAUAAAGGUCUGCCUCAUAAUUCUCUAAUGAUGUUAUU